rnacentral:tRNA from 1 species
AAUGAAUUGCCUGAAAAAGGGCUACCUUGAUAGGGUAAAUUAUGUGGGUAUUACCCCUCAUUCAUUA